UACGUAGGGGGCAAGCGUUAUCCGGAUUUACUGGGUGUAAAGGGGGCGCAGACGGCGAUGCAAGCCAGGAGUGAAAGCCCGGGGCCCAACCCCGGGACUGCUCUUGGAACUGCGUGGCUGGAGUGCAGGAGGGGCAGGCGGAAUUCCUGGUGUAGCGGUGAAAUGCGUAGAUAUCAGGAGGAACACCGGCGGCGAAGGCGGCCUGCUGGACCGUGACUGACGUUGAGGCUCGAAAGCGUGGGGAGCAAACAGG
rnacentral:rRNA from 1 species